rnacentral:tRNA from 1 species
GGUUUGUGGCUCAGCUGUAGAGCGCUUGCCUAGCAUGUGUGAGGCCCUGGGUUCGAUCCUCAGCACCA